GCCUGGCUGGCUCAGUCCGGUAGAGCAUGAAACUCUGGAUCUCAGGGUCCUGAGUUCAAACCUCGCAUUAGGCA